rnacentral:rRNA from 1 species
GAAUAUUGGACAAUGGGCGCAAGCCUGAUCCAGCCAUGCCGCGUGUGUGAAGAAGGCCUUCGGGUUGUAAAGCACUUUUGUCCGGAAAGAAAAGCGGUUGAUUAAUACUCGGUCGUUCUGACGGUACCGGAAGAAUAAGCACCGACUAACUUCGUGCCAGCAGCCGCGGUAAUACGAAGGGUGCAAGCGUUACUCGGAAUUACUGGGCGUAAAGUGUGCGUAGGUGGUUCGUUAAGUCUGCCGUGAAAGCCCCGGGCUCAACCUGGGAAUUGCGGUGGAUACUGGCGGGCUAGAGUGCGGUAGAGGGUAGUGGAAUUCCCGGUGUAGCAGUGAAAUGCGUAGAGAUCGGGAGGAACAUCAGUUGCGAAGGCGGCUACCUGGACCAGCACUGACACUGAGGCACGAAAGCGUGGGGAGCAAACAGG